rnacentral:rRNA from 1 species
ACUCCUGCGGGAGGCAGCAGUGGGGAAUUUUGGACAAUGGGCGAAAGCCUGAUCCAGCCAUGCCGCGUGCAGGAUGAAGGCCUUCGGGUUGUAAACUGCUUUUGUACGGAACGAAACGGCCUUUUCUAAUAAAGAGGGCUAAUGACGGUACCGUAAGAAUAAGCACCGGCUAACUACGUGCCAGCAGCCGCGGUAAUACGUAGGGUGCAAGCGUUAAUCGGAAUUACUGGGCGUAAAGCGUGCGCAGGCGGUUAUGUAAGACAGUUGUGAAAUCCCCGGGCUCAACCUGGGAACUGCAUCUGUGACUGCAUAGCUAGAGUACGGUAGAGGGGGAUGGAAUUCCGCGUGUAGCAGUGAAAUGCGUAGAUAUGCGGAGGAACACCGAUGGCGAAGGCAAUCCCCUGGACCUGUACUGACGCUCAUGCACGAAAGCGUGGGGAGCAAACAGGAUUAGAAACCCUGGUAGUCCCAUGAU